GCUGAAGCAAGUGUUACUGUAUGGAGGGGGGGUGCUUAAUUUCAUUGUUGUAUGCUUGCUUGCACUGUGUGUGUGUGUGCGUGCGUGCACUCGUGCGUGUGUGUGUGUGUGUGUGUGCGUAUGAUGAAAACUAGCCUGCUCACGCAGGGCCGUGCCUCUGUUUCAUCAUCAACUCCAGUCUUCUCUGUUUCGCUAGCUCAUACACUCCUCCUCUUUCUUAGCCAGAUGGCUCGAGUCGCUCACAAGGGGGAGAUUGGACUAUGAAAAAAGAUUGCUGCUGCAGCUUGCGUUCCUGCUGCAAGGGCCUCCUCUUCAGACGGCCUUUGCCAGAGCAGAACUUUUCAAAAUGCUACAAAUAGGAUCUUCUUUUUUUCCUCCUUUAUUUAAACCCUUCUCCUUUUUUUAAAAAUAACCAAAAAAAAAACAAAACAAAAAAAACCGGGACUAAUUUUUCUUGUUUGCUGUGCUGUGCUUGGCUGUACAGUAUAUUGCAGUGUUGAGCUUAAAGCUACAAGUAUUUCUACCACCACCCCCGCUGAUCCAUUUUUUUUCCGUCCUGGUUAAAGAAAUUGGUGUAUUUGAGCAAUGAAUCAGGAUUUGCGAGUUUGUGUGCUCUGAGAAUGAUGGCUUUUAUUGGCGAUUUUUUCCCCUGAGUACCAGUGCCCUGUGCUGCUCAUGGAACCAGCUUCUUUCUUUCUUUCUUUCUUUCUUUCUUUCUUUCUUUCUUUCUUUCUUUCUUUCUUUCUUUCUUUCUUUCUGUCUAUUUUUUAAUUGCUUCAGGUAUCUGUGCCACAUGAACAAGGAUGGAUGCUAGCCCUCCAACCCCCUUAUAAUCUGACCGUGGCUGAAAUGGAAAUACUGCGGGGAUUUUUUUGUCCUUGCAGGGUCCCUCCCCUCCCUUUCUUUCACUGUUUAGGAGGGAAAAGGGGUGUGCGGUAAAAUGCUGUCUCUGGGACAGGUGGCAGCUCCAAGACAAAAGGAAUAAAAUAGGCAGUAAACGGGGAAAAUUAAUAGUCAAUAAAAAUAGGAAUUGGAAAUGUGUAAGCGGCAACAUUGGUAAAGGUGUUGUCAGCUACCCAGCCUUUCUUUUGAAUUUUAUCUGCAGAUAUAGGCUAAAAGGAGAAAGUUUAGGCGUACUUUUUUAUUUGUCCUCUCUAUAGGCAUUUGAAAAGAUAAGGCGGGUUUUUUUUUUUGGACUACUGAAUUAUUCAUAGUGUCAGUGGUGAAGCCAGGACCAUUAGCAUGCAUCAGACAUGCUGUUUGUCUGUUUGCUAACAUUCUUCAUUCAAGACUUGUUAACUACCAGACAAGCUUAACACGCUUCUCUUUUCCCCCUCCCCUUCUCUCUCUCCCUCUCUCUCUCUUUCUCUCUCUCCCUUUCAUGCCACCCCUUUAGUCUCCUAUUGUUGUUGCUGGGAGCUGGCAGCCAGGGGUAGUUGUGGCAGGGAAAGCAUGUGGACGAGAAGCUGGAACCCGUUGCUAGGAGACUGCAGAGCUGCAAGGUGAACACAUUGGCAUCCUCUCUCCGUACCUGGUCCCUGAGGCUUGUUUCCCACCAUUCACAGGGCCCUCUGAAGUUGUACCAACCAGAAUCUACUCUCAACUACCUUGGGCAUGUGCCUGCUCUGGUGUCACAGAUAACAAGAAAGGGAUCAAUGCUGCAGCAUAGAUCUGGAGGAGAGCGGGAAACAACUGGGAAACUGAUUUUUCAUUAAAAACAGACUUUUCUACUUUAUUAAAGGAAGUGUGACUUAUUGCAAAACUGUGUCGAGCUAUCUAUGGAAGUCUCACUAGUAGAAAUUAAAAAAAUGAAAGAAGUUAGACUGGUCUUCUAUACAGAGGAAUUGACAAGAUUUCUCAUCUCUUUUGAAUUUUGGCCUUGUUCUGAUUUCUGAAAACUACCAUCUGAUCAUCAUCAUUUUCUACCAUUGAGAUCACAGAAACACACAAGAGCGUGAGCUCGUUCUGCUGCUGCGGCUAUCAGCCGUACGUGUCACGCUUGGAAGCCGUGUUAUAUUUGGGCAGAAAUCCCAUCAGGACUAAUACAACAAACCAAUUGAUAAGUAAGUAGACGUAAAGAUUAUGCUAGAAAAAUCAUGGAUGAUAAAUCCUA